rnacentral:rRNA from 1 species
UUGGGCGUAAGCGCGCGCAGGCGGUCCUUUAAGUCUGAUGUGAAAGCCCACGGCUCAACCGUGGAGGGUCAUUGGAAACUGGGGGACUUGAGUGCAGAAGAGGAAAGCGGAAUUCCACGUGUAGCGGUGAAAUGCGUAGAGAUGUGGAGGAACACCAGUGGCGAAGGCGGCUUUCUGGUCUGUAACUGACGCUGAGGCGCGAAAGCGUGGGGAGCAAACAGGAUUAGAUACCCUGGUAGUCCACGCCGUAAACGAUGAGUGCUAAGUGUUAGAGGGUUUCCGCCCUUUAGUGCUGCAGCUAACGCAUUAAGCACUCCGCCUGGGGAGUACGGCCGCAAGGCUGAAACUCAAAGGAAUUGACGGGGGCCCGCACAAGCGGUGGAGCAUGCGGUUUAAUUCGAAGCAACGCGAAGAACCUUACCAGGUCUUGACAUCCUCUGCCACUCCCAGAGAUGGGACGUUCCCCUUCGGGGGACAGAGUGACAGGUGGUGCAUGGUUGUCGUCAGCUCGUGUCGUGAGAUGUUGGGUUAAGUCCCGCAACGAGCGCAACCCUUGAUCUUAGUUGCCAGCAUUCAGUUGGGCACUCUAAGGUGACUGCCGGUGACAAACCGGAGGAAGGUGGGGAUGAC